CUUCCAAGAAACAUUGGUCCCUCACCUGGGGGCACGUUCUUCCACUAUGGGUCACACCCGUUUACACAGAAAAGCUAACCCGUUUACCCCUCGAGCCUACACUUUAGGACAAGCCGAGUGGGAAGGAUGCUCCUCCAAUUACACGAUCCUCCCCGUGUUCAUCGGCUGACAGGCUUAACAUUCAUUCGUUCAUUCACUCACUCAUUCAUUCAUUCAUCACUAGGAUCCACACCCAGCACGGAGCCCAACCCGGGACCUGAACUCAUCACCCUGAGAUCAGGACCCGAGAUGAGAUCAGGAGCCCGAUGCUCACCCAUCUGCACCAUGUGGGUGCCCCACUGACAGGCUCACAGGGAGGGGCAUUAUGAGGGUGUUGGCAGAGUGGCAGCAGGCCAGGGGGCGUUGCCCACUUCCCUCCAGUGGGGACUCCCAGUUCCCGGUCAGGCCCGCCCUGGGCCCAGAGGCCUGGUGGCGCCUGCGCGGCUUCCCUUUCUCCGUGACUGUGGGGCUGUGUGACCAUGUGGCCGGCAGCCAUCUGGCACGGAAGGCUUUCCUGCAGCCGUCGUCUCCACAGCUGGCUCAUCAGAGAAUGCUCCCAGGAAUGGCAGAGAACUGCAAGCCAAAGCCAGCAAAACCACAGGCAGGUGUGCCCCGCAAAGGAUGAAGUGGAGCGCCGAGGGGCUGCUGUCAACUGAAAGCCCAUUGGACUAAACUGGGAGCUGGAUGUGUGACGGCUUCUCAUUGGCUGGGAUGUUGCCAGGGGAGGAGGAAACCUUCCUUCCUCCCGCCCUGCGGUGAGGGAGCAGGAACGCAGUAGUGUGGGGAGGGCCGCUCCAUUCCCAUCGGAUUUGUGGUUCGGAUUUGUGGUUCGGAUUUGUGGUUGGUGAGGGUGGGAGGGUAUGAGAGCUCCCCCUGCCCAAACUCCCGACUUCCCUUUUAGUGAGGUUUCCUUUUAUGAAUUUUCUCAGUAGGCCUGGGGUGCGGUGGGAAAGACCCCGGUAGGAAAGUCGUUCUGGCCGGGAGGGGCCCCUGUGGGGCAAGCACUGGGGUCCGCAGGCACACGGCAGCACAGCCCCUGCAGCUGGAGCCAGCCCAGUCACCGUAGAGACCACCGACUCUGCAGGGGGGGCACCCUGGGGAAUCCUGGUGGUGGGGGUAGGGUUGCUGGGGGUCUGAAGUGGGGGCUAUAGGUAGGACAAGCAGCCGUGACAGGUCACUGGGCACCCUGAUAGACAGGUGGACAGUACUGAGGAGGCCAGCAGGAGGCCUUGGGUAGGGCCUGGUGCUUGCGAGCUGAAUUCCUGUGCUCCGGCCCCCCAUCUCUGUGCAGGUCCCCACCUGGGCCAGGUCAUCACCACUAGGCCCCAUCUCCCCCAUCCUGGCAAUCACCACCCUAAGCUCAGCUCAGGCCUGACGCCACUCUGUGCGCCCUCAUGGAGCUAGCUCUGUCUCAGGCCCUCCUUAGGGGCUGGAUUGUGUCCCCCAAAUCCAUCUGCUGAGUCCUGGUCUCAGGACUUCAGAGGGUGACUGUGCUGCAGGAGGUGAUCAAGGUAGAGGAAGUCACUGAGAGCCCUGAUCCACGCCCACUGGUGUCCUUACAAGAAGAGACCAGGAUGCAGACAAGCACCGUGGGAUGACCCUGUGAGGCCACAGGGACAAGACGGUGUCUACACACUGAGGAGAGAGCCCUCAGGAGGGACCGAUGGGCCCGGGCUCCUGGGGCUACAGCCUAGGACCCCUUGCCUCCACGCCCCCUGAGCCAGUCCCUGCAGCCACCGACCACCCGCACGUGCCCUGCGCGCCCCACAGGCCCGCCUCUCUGGGGAGGCCUAUGCACGCUGAGAAGCUGAAUCUAGCAACAGGCAAGGCAAGGGUAGCUGAGGCGCGUCCGGACGGCAGGAGAUCUGCUAGGGGCCACCCGCGGCUGAGACUUCGGGCUGUGGCCCCUGUGACCAGAAUCUUCCAGGCCACGCUCAACUCAGCAGCCAGAGGGAUCAGAUCGUCCAAAGUGUCAGCUGAUGUGUGUGCCCGGCCUCAGCCCUUCCCGGCCCUGCUCCUGCCACACUGCUGACCACUGCACUCGAAGCCAUCCCAGCUCCCUUUCAGGAGGGCUGGGGCGUCAGGGGAAAGGGACAGAGCCCCCGGGGAGCUUGGGCCCAACAGCCCUUACUUCCCAGGCGUAAGUCGCGCCCUGUAAUGGCCAGGGUUCUCCAGAGAAGCAGGACCAGUGGGAUGUGUAUAUUUAUACAGACAGAUUUAUUUUGAGGAGUUGGCUCAUGUGCGUCAACUUGGAGUCUGGCAAGUCCUAAAUCUGCAGGACAGGCCAACAGGCAGGAGAGUCAGGAAGAGCCAGUGUUUCAGUUCAAGUUCAAAGGCCAUCCACGGGCGGAAUUCCCUCUUGCUCAGAGGAAGUCAGUUUUUUUGUUCUAUUUGGGCCUUCAACUGAUUGGACGAGGCCCACCCACACCAUGGAGAGCAAUUUGCGUCACUCGAAGUCUACUGAUACAAAUGUUCAUUUCGUCUAAAGAUAGCCUCACAGCAACACGCACAACGAUGUUUGACGAGAUAUCUGGGCUCAAUGAACCAGCCAAGCAGACACACAACUGACCAUCCCACUCACGGAUGGGUAUCAUGUGACGUGUAGCUCGGAGACUUCCCACUACGGUGCUUGGGACACGGUCCACGAUCCGUAACAGGAUUCCAAAGCCACGGAGGGUCCCUCCGGUCCCCCGGGUCACUGGUUGCCAGACACACCGACCUUGUUUCCGUGCCCAGCCUUUGCACAAGUAGGAUUCCCACGGGAGACGCUGCACCCCAGCCCUUCUGCUGGUCCCAUGGAAACUUUCCCUGCAUCCUCAACGUCUGAGCACGACCUAGAGCUCCCUGUGAGCCGCGCCAUGUCUCAGACAGCGCAAGGGGCUCAGGACCCUGAGACUCAGUCCUGCUGCCCGCCCCACAUGCUGUCGCUCCCGGUUCAGUCUUCCAACUUCACAGAGCUCCUGCUGUCCUAGACGACGAGGCUGACUCAGUUUCCCCCUUGUAAGCCAGUGUCUUGCACACGGUUCCUUCUUGUAGCUGGCCCUUCCUUCUGGGGUAUUUUUUCCUCCUGUAGUACAUUCUUUAAAAGUUCCUGCUAGGGGGAUUCCUAGGUGGCUCAGUGGUUUAGCGCCUGCCAUGGGCCCAGGGCAUGAUCCUGGAGACAUGGUAUCGAGUCCUGCAUGGAGCCUGCUUCCCCCCUAGCCCUUGUCUCUGCCCCUCUCUCUCUCUCCCUCUGUGUCUCUUAUGAAUAAAUAAAUAAAAUCUUUAAAAAAUAAUAAAAAAAUAAAAGUUCUUGCUAGUGGCAAACUCUCUCAACAUCUCCAAAAUUUUAUCUGAAAAAAAUUUGUCUGGGCUGUUAACUAUCUGAAAAUUUUAUUUUGCACUUUUUUUUUUUUUUUUUUUUUGGAAAACAGUGUGAAAAGUUCUCAAUGGACCAUUACUGUCCUCUGAGCACCUUAUGGGGACUCACCUCACUGUCUUGGUUUCCACUGCUGCUCAAGUCCUGCUGCCUGCCUAGCUGCUGUUUCUUUUUGUUUUUUUAAGGAUUGUAUAUAUUUAUUCCUGAGAGACACAGAGAGAGAGAGGCAGGGACACAAGAGGAGGGA